CUACUAGGCAGCCAUAUUGCACGACACUGUGGAGGAUACGGACACAACGUUCGAGGAAAUUGAAGGAAUAUUUGGAAGUGAAGUUGUCAAGUUAGUUGAAGAAGUGACGGAUGAUAAAUCUUUACCAAAACAGGAAAGAAAACGACUUCAAAUAGAACAUGCCCCAGGAACCAGGUGCGGUAUUCUACUCUUCGCCUCUCCAAGGAAUUCAUCUUAACCCACAUGCCUAGAUACUAUUGUUCUAAGGCCUGUUUUAUACGUCGAAUUUUGGCCGUGUCGAAUGCGAUUAAGACAAUAGAUAAUGAGAUGAUAAACCUCAUUAAGCUUCAUUAUCUAUUGUUUGAAUUGCAUUCGACACGACCGAAAUUCGACGUAUAAACAGGCCUAAAUUAUGAAAGCAUGGAUAAAACAAAGGUGAGAUAACAUAUUAGAUUACUCACAUGCCUAGAUACUAUUGUUCUAGUUUGGGAAAGCAUAGAAUAGAACAAAGGUAUUGGGAUCAAACGUAUGAGUGACUCACUUUCAUAAUUUUAUAGAUAACUCCAAUGUUUAAUUUCAUUGAUACCUUUGUUCUAAUCUAUGAUUUUGUAAAUAUAUAUAUAUUCACGUAAAAUAAUCAAAUAACUUAUUUAUCUAUAAUUGUAAAUAGCUGGGUCUUUGACAAUUCUUUCCUUCCUGUGACGGGUGUUCUCUCGUUCUUGCUCUGUAUGUUUGCUGUAUGCAAAGUAUUGUAUUCCAUCCUCUCUGGUGAUGACUUGGAAAUGAAGUCGAAAAUACACAGUUUCAAAAUCUCGUCUUGUUUUAAUCGAAAUCUCAAUUUCAAGAUGGCAUUAGUUACUAUUCCUCGGAAUAUCUAUCUUUUUAUACUUUCUAAAAUUG